GCUGACUCAGUGUCACAUCACGCUGACCAGCAUUUUGCACAAUGAACAGCCUCUCAGCUACAGGACAGGAGGAAAAACUUACUGCAUUUCCAGCCUACAUCCAGAAGAACUGAAGUGGAAAAAGACUUAGUGUCCGUACGGUUUCCCAAAACAGGGAAGGGGAUAUGAAGCAGUUUUUUUCUACUGCCCCCUUUUUACCACUCUUUUGGUGGAGAUGUGUGAGUUCGUAAGGGAUUCCUCAAGUAAACAAGUCAGAUGAUCACUCAAAGCGUGGAGGAUUUCUGCUUGAGUACAACAGGCAAUGGUUUCAAAAAGACUUUUCUACUGCCAGCCAGAGGACUGAAUAGACCCUUACUAUGAUCUCAGGGGCUGCAGAGAAGAACAGGGAGGUGGGAAGUGCAGCUUCUGGAAUGGGAAGCAAAGUAUCGUCAACAGGUUUCAGCUAACGUUGCUCAACUAUCGUUAUCACCUUCCAUACUGCGACCUGCACAGCUAUUUCCCUCCACUGAAUAUACAAAAAACGAUAGUUUCUUGCAGCCAGGUUUUGGACCUUGAAUUCAAGAGGGAACAUACUGCAAAAUCUGCCCACGGGUUUCCAGGAAAGAUGUUAGGCAGAAAGGCCUUAUGUUGACCACACUGUAAACUGAACUGAUGUGCAUGUUUGUACUUCGGUCACCCGGAAGAUUGAUAGGGAUCCAGAGAAGAAUUUAAGUACUGCAAUACCUAACUUCUGAGAGCUCUGCAGGCAAACUAUAUUUUGUCCUUUUUCAAUACAUGGGGAAAGCGAGGUGUCACAGAAACUUGUAAACUGAACAGGGAUUCACAUGAAAUAGUCAAGCUCUUUGAAAAUACUGAGGAUUGAGAAGGGUAGGACCUCAAACCCUUCCUCAAGAAGACGUAAUUAUUUCUCUGACACAAGAAUUCUCUUAUAUAAGAGCCCUAGACACCUCUUUUACACACUGCUACCCAAAACCUGAAAAAUAAAAACUGAACAACGAGAAAGCUGACAGGAAAGUCCCAGCCACUCUCAAUAUAGUAAUAGAGUACUCCUCUCAAAGGAGGCCGGGGUUAAAGGUGAGAAUUCAGUUCUCAGACUCUCUGUCCUAGGAGACUACUAAGAUACGGGAUAAAAGCAUUUUGUGUGAUGCUUUUCAAAUAUAUAAGAGAGUUGACCAUACUGGAAGUCCCUGGUGAGACCAGCCAUUUAACAGCCUUACCAGGGCAUAGGCACAAAGCAGUGUGGUAGUAUCAGGACCUUUAUUACAGAGAUCACUGGGUAGGGAAUAAAGGGGCUUGGGUGGCCUAUAGAUGUAGGUGGCAGUCCAGCAAGGCUUCUGAGCAAAAUAGUGAAGCCUCGAUGUUGGUGCUCAGUGUGCAAGUCCCGUUGUAGACGUAGCCUGCUAUGACAGUAACACAGUCACAGUAUUUCCAGCACCAAAAUAUGUUUAUGGCAGAUCACUAGCAGACAGUCUAAAUUUGUUGUGAAUCCUUCAGCACUGCAGGCUACAUUUUUUUUCUUUAAGUUUCCAGAUUCCACAAGCCUCCAGUGUAAGCUGUUGUCCUGUCAUUAUUGUUACACAUCAGGGUAUGGACAGACACAGUUUAAGACUUCUUGUUUACUAAAAAGAUGAAAAGGUGCUUGUCAUAACUCUAAGUAGCUGACUGUGAUCCAAGCAGCAUUGACAAUAACAAUUUCUUAUUCUCUUCCUUUUUUAUCUGCAUUUAAGCAGACCGAAGAAGAAAUUUAAAGAGGGUACAAGACUCUCAGAAGUCCAUGUAGCUUGUUGAAAGACCAUGAAGGAAUAUGUAAAAAUAUUUAGGAAAUGACUAAUACCUUCUGGCACAAAUCUUUCCCUUUGGUAAAAUCCAUUUCUCUUUCCUAUUGGAUUCCAUGAGCUGUCAGGAACAUGAAUUAAAAAGAUAUAAAUAUUUUAGAAUAAAAGGCAUAUUCUUAGUAAGGCUUAUGCUGCUCUUAGAUCCAUCUGCCUUCUCAAAGAGAUUUAGUUUCUUUUUUCACCUGAAAAAUGUCAGAAUGAACAACAACAAAAAGUGAUAACAAGAAAGAAACAAAUACACGACAAAAUAUGAGCAAGAAAGAAUUGCAAUACCUUUGCAGAGACAAGUAUUUCAAUUAAGUUUUGAAGCAUUUUGGCAUCCCUGUAAAACUCUGCAAUUUGUGAAAUAGAGAAUUAUCAUUGCUUUAAGGUACAACAUCAUUUUUAAAUGCCUAAAGAGAAAAACAAUGUGGAAAUUCCAUUAAGGAAUAAAAUUUUUCAAAUGUUCAAUCUGGACAAAUUGACUCAUCUCAUUCCUUUGUUGAUCAUGCUUUAUAUGGAGGAAAUGUCAGUGCUGAAGGUGUCAAAGAACCUACAUUUAUGCAGAUAUUGUAUCUAUUACUACACAAAUAUUCAGACAUUUAAAUGGCAAAGAACUAUAGGAAUCAAUUUACCAAAUUUGUGUGUCAUACAAUAGUGCUAUUGAGCUCAGAAACUUCCAGGUGCAAAUAGUGUCAGAAUUUCAUUCCAAAAUUUUGUUUCUGGAUGUCACCACCAGGGAAUUUUUAAUUCUUGGGGGACCCUUCCAGCAGUUAGACAGAGCUACUAGACAGGUCAAGAAGAAGCUGCAAGUGGGACUUUUCUGUAGCUUUGGUAUUACUGAAAAUGGGACAUAACUGCCAAAACUAUUGCUUGUGUUGUAGAACAAAUUCUCUCCUGAUGUAGAAUGACACUAUUCUAUUGACUCCAAUGACGUUACACCCAAUUUAUACCAGGAGAAUAUGUAGCUCUUUAUCCAUUUAUCUAUAAGCCGGUUGUUGUGACUUAAUUUCAAAUGAAUUAUGUUACUGUUCUUGGUCUGUGCCCUUGAAGCACUUUAUUACUUAGAAGGCUAGUUCAGCAGAAAUAAAUAAAUAUGUGAUUUGCAGUCUCAGCAAAUGUCCUAGCCAGGAACAAUGGCCUCUCUGCAGUGUUCCAGACUAAUUGCCCCCAAUUUUCUGCUCUAACCUUCAUACCCAAUUCAUUCCCUUCUUGCACUGUUCUCCUUACUCUUUUUCCACCCAGUCCUCAUGUUCAUAUUUUCUCCAGUGUCAGCAAGUCUUUAACCACCAGCUCUUAGGUAUUUAAAUUCCUUUAGAGAAUAACUUCCUCUACAGUGAUCACAAGAAAUGUGUAUUACAUUUAAGAAAGUACAUUAUUUAAGAAAAGAUUAUAUUUAAAAUCUUUCCUUCUUAAGAUUUCACCCAGAAUUUUUGUGUUUGAUAGUAUACCCCAGCAUUCACGGUAACAAAUACUGUCAUUAUAAUUGUGUCCUGUGCUUACUAGGACAUCAUCAUCCAAUGUUUUUCUAAUUUCACAGUCAAAACCUGCCAUCAAAUAUUAUAAGCAGUUUAACUGACAUUCAUACAAGUAGGAAGAUUUUUAAGCUUAUUUUAAGGCUGAUUGGCAGCAACUUUCUGUUCGAAAUCUGAAUGCAGUAGCAAUAAGCAUUAAGCAAUAAGCAUUAAUAAAAUCGUGCUUGCGGUCAUUGCUUAGACACUAAGGACCUUUUGAUGAUUAGAGAACGUGUCUGAAAAUUGUUCUGGCCACCUACUUAACAGCCUGUGACUUUGGAAGGCAUUAAUCCAGAACAUUGGCUUCAUUUUCUCAUUAAGUCUUCUCCAUUAUAGGAGGUUGUUUGUGAGGCCUGUUGGAAUCAGUGGUGCACAGGAAGGAUGAAAUUAAAGAAACUGGUCUGAGUGAAAUAAGUAGUUCCUAGCUACUUGCUUUGGGGGACACCUGCUGAAUUUAACAGAAUUGGUUUCCACAGUCCAGCUGCAUUUCUGCUGAGUAGCUCAGCCAGGUGUGGAGCCUGAUUCCAUGACCUUUGUGUGCUUAUCCACUAUAAAAACCAUGGAUCAUUCUGUUGAAUACAGUAUGUAGGUAAAAAGUAAAAGAAAGGUUCAUGAAAACCAUCAUAUCUGUAAAAUGGAAAUGUUAUAUUGUUGAAUUAUUUCAUUAAGUCUGGUGUAAGAAAAAAGCACAUUUUAUAUACAAGUGCAUGCUUUCAGUUAGGUAAAUAUUCCUCACUGAACUUGUCUCUACCUGUGCUAUGUUGAAAGUUAAAUACUAAGCUAUCUAAUGUUGAUAUGUUUUCCAAGUAUAUCCUUUACCCUUCUUUCCCAUCAGGGUUCUCCAUUUUACUCUAUUCAGCUCCUGCUCCAGUCUGGAUUGGGGGAAUGCUAUGCUCAGUUCUUACCUUUUGGAUCAUCUCUGUCUUUCUUAUUCCACUAUUAAAAUAACUGUACUGCA